ensembl:lncRNA
GGUGGUGUUUGGAGAGAGAGGUUCUGGACUUUUACAAUAAUAAUACAACUGUUUAGAUUUGAUACAAAAAAAAUCAUCAGUCUUUGAAUAUGGAACAAUGCCGAUGAGCAAAUGUUGCACAAAAAGGACGUGGCAUCUGCAUGCAGCACAUAAGCCACAGAACCACAGCUGGCACUUGUAGCUUCUCAGUUAUGACAUGAGGACCUCUUUAAGUUUUUGAGCUAUGUUGUGAUGGUGCUGAUAAAAAUAAGCAGUAACUGCAUUUCUGGCUUGGUGUAACAGGUUCAGUUAUAUCUCAUAGCUGGCAGCAAAUAUGGCAGCUGACAUAUAUUGGAUGACUUUGGAAUGAACAUUAAAAUCAUUCAAAAAUAAAGAGGUCUUGCUUAAGCAAAAGCAAUAAAAUGGAAAUACACUGUAGAAUGUAAACUGAUGGUGAGAUGUAAUGUAUGGGUGUAGAUGUAAUUGAUUAGGAUACAGGAAGUAACAUAAAAUGGAUGUAUUUAUUUAUGAAUAUGAUGUUUAUCACUUUGGGGGUCAUUACUGCAAUUGCUUUUGUUAUUCACACAGCUAAGAUAGCUAUUUGAUCCCAAUAACGCCCCUGUUUUUCCACUGUCAUGCCACGACAACAAAGGUAGCAGAAUCAUUUUAAUUCCAUCCAAAAGGCGGGGAAAACUGCAGCGCAGGAAUGUGGCAAUGUCGGAGAGUUCUUUUUUUUUUUUUUUUACAAACAAAGGGAGGCGUCGAAACAACAAAUACAAUGAUAAAAUAUUUCUCAGAUAUAUUCAGAAUGAGUCAGGGGCAUUUAGGCUCACCUGCAAAUGCUCUUCAGAGACAUACGAUCGGUAAAUUAUAGGAUAUUUAUGUUUAAAACGUUUUUCAGACUGAGAAUUGUUAAGCUGUUUAAUGUAUCUAAAGCAGAGUCUUAUUAAAAGCAAAACAAUAUAUGCCCGCACAUUCUGAGAGCAAAAGCAGAGACAUUUUGAGCGCGACCGUUGCUCCAAUGAGCUCAGCAUCCGGCCGCUGGAGUCCCUCAACUUUUACUUACCGGCUCUAUACUGUAGCUCGAAAAAAGACAAAACAACAAACAACAGCCUUUUGUCGAGACAAAGCUGAUUGGAGAGGACAACCCAGCUGUCCUAUGGUGAUGGAGAAACUACCCACCUGAGAACCAUUUCAGUAAUUGCCUCACUGGACAACUAUAAAGAUGGCCCUCAACUCUACCUUUAUGCUCCCCUAAACAUUGCAAUCCCCUAACCAUUAGCUUACAGUACCUGAACAAACUUACUGACCCAUUUGGACGAUUUAGAAUCAUUGUGACUGACCCCCAACAUGAUGAAUUAGGCAACAGGACAAAGAAGGAUAUGACAACUGAAUUUUACCAUACUCACAAUAUUGAAAGCAUGGUAUUUCCAAAAGAGCCAUGGUACCUCCACCCUUCUGAUGUAUGAGCGACAACUACAGCUGCUAGACACGCAACCAACUGGCAGAAAAAUGACUGCAAAUGAGCCAGCUGAAUCUAACACCAAGCUUGAGAUCUCUGAGAGUGAGAUGUAGGACAACAACACACACCGUGCCAGGGGAACCACUGCAGCGAUGGGCUUGUGAAGAUGUUUUGACCUAAAACAAUUGGCCGACUUCUAAACAGCUCAUCCAUUCACACUGUCUAGAAGAAAGUUGCCUGAGGUAAUGGUCUUCACAAUGGCCAAUUGAUGUUAGAUUGUGAACAGGACAAAGUUUUAGCUAUGACUCAUAUAUUCAUCCAAAAUAGUCAACUAUAAUCAUCACAGCUAUGAUCCAUGGAAGCACAUAAAUUGCAAGAGAGAGAGCACAAAAAUAAGAUCCAUAUCUUGAGCGAUAGAUGCUGCAAACUACAGGCAUAUUUCACAAUCGUUACAAAUUCAGAUAAAUAAAUAUGUACCAAAGCACAUUCAAGAUAAAGAGAUCUAUAGAUAAAGCUGUGUUGAGAUAUCGAGAUAAAUAUCAUAUCAGACAUUUGAGGUAUUGUAGAAUGUAGAAAGAUACUGAUUUGGGGAGAAAAUCUCCAUUUCACACAUUUGACUCAAUCAUUUUAUAGUUGAAAAUAUUAUGACCAUUAGAAGAAGGUGACACACAAUUAGAGUAAAAUAAAAUAUAUGAUAAAUGGUGAGUAGGAGAACAAGAAAGUGGGGGAAAACAUUUUGGGGAGUAUAAUAGGCCUACUGGACUGGGCUUAGGGCAUCACCUUCACUGUGCCAUGUUCUGUUAGGCCUUGCAGUGUCACACAUUUUUAGAGCAUCCAGCCGCAAACCAUCUGGCUGGGGCUGCUGUAAUCAACAGUGGAGAAAACGACAGCAGGAAGUCAACUAAAACAAGACAGAGUAAAGGCUUUCAAAAUAAAACAGGAAUUUGAAAAAAUAACAAACAUGACUAAAAUAGUUGACUGAAGAACUCUACUUUUUGUUUUUGUUGUAGCAUGUUGCUUUUUAAUAAAUUGAAAAUAAUGGCUGAUGUUGUAUUUACUUCACUUAUUGAUUUCCUUCCAGGAUAUAAAUCUUUUCUGAAAUUAUUCAUAUGAUUUCAACAAUCAAUGUCAUUUAAGGGAGAAAUUGAAAAAAACAGGCAAGUACAUUAUAACCUAUGUAUUUUUAAAAAUUACUAUGAGAGGUUAAUACUUUUUGUAUGAAAAAAGCCAAGUAAACACUCUUAGGCAGCAUUUUUUUUAUGCUGGCUUAAGUUUGGCGCAGUGUAGUAUAUCAAAUUAAAUCAAAUAAAUCUUUAUUUAUAUAGCGUCUUUUACAAUCAAAAUUGUUUCAAAGCGCUUUCCAGAAUCCCAGGACCUAACCCC